AUGAACGCUGGCGGCGUGCCUAAUACAUGCAAGUCGAGCGAACAGACGAGGAGCUUGCUCCUCUGACGUUAGCGGCGGACGGGUGAGUAACACGUGGAUAACCUACCUAUAAGACUGGGAUAACUUCGGGAAACCGGAGCUAAUACCGGAUAAUAUAUUGAACCGCAUGGUUCAAUAGUGAAAGACGGUUUUGCUGUCACUUAUAGAUGGAUCCGCGCCGCAUUAGCUAGUUGGUAAGGUAACGGCUUACCAAGGCGACGAUGCGUAGCCGACCUGAGAGGGUGAUCAGCCACACUGGAACUGAGACACGGUCCAGACUCCUACGGGAGGCAGCAGUAGGGAAUCUUCCGCAAUGGGCGAAAGCCUGACGGAGCAACGCCGCGUGAGUGAUGAAGGUCUUCGGAUCGUAAAACUCUGUUAUUAGGGAAGAACAAAUGUGUAAGUAACUAUGCACGUCUUGACGGUACCUAAUCAGAAAGCCACGGCUAACUACGUG
rnacentral:rRNA from 1 species